rnacentral:rRNA from 1 species
AUUGAACGCUGGCGGCAGGCCUAACACAUGCAAGUCGAGCGGAUGAAGGGAGCUUGCUCCUGGAUUCAGCGGCGGACGUGUGAGUAAUGCCUAGGAAUCUGCCUGGUAGUGGGGGAUAACGUCCGGAAACGGGCGCUAAUACCGCAUACGUCCUGAGGGAGAAAGUGGGGGAUCUUCGGACCUCACGCUAUCAGAUGAGCCUAGGUCGGAUUAGCUAGUUGGUGGGGUAAAGGCCUACCAAGGCGACGAUCCGUAACUGGUCUGAGAGGAUGAUCAGUCACACUGGAACUGAGACACGGUCCGGACUCCUACGGGAGGCAGCAGUGGGGAAUAUUGGACAAUGGGCGAAAGCCUGAUCCAGCCAUGCCGCGUGUGUGAAGAAGGUCUUCGGAUUGUAAAGCACUUUAAGUUGGGAGGAAGGGCAGUAAGUUAAUACCUUGCUGUUUUGACGUUACCAACAGAAUAAGCACCGGCUAACUUCGUG